UACGUAGGGCGCGAGCGUUGUCCGGAAUUAUUGGGCGUAAAGAGCUCGUAGGCGCCUGUCGCGUCCGUUGUGAAAUCCCGGGGCUUAACCCCGGGCCUGCAGUGGAUACGGGCAGGCUGGAGGCAGGCAGGGGAGACUGGAAUUCCUGGUGUAGCGGUGAAAUGCGCAGAUAUCAGGAGGAACACCGAUGGCGAAGGCAGAUCUCUGGGCCGUAACUGACGCUGAGGAGCGAAAGCAUGGGGAGCGAACAGG
rnacentral:rRNA from 1 species